UUUUUUUUCCAGAUCAAUGCUUGUAGCUUGACGAAAUUAGUAAAGAUAUGUACUACAGAAAACAAAUAUAAUGGAGCAUAAAAUAGAAUAACAUUGUCCCUCCAUAUGAAAAAUAAAUACAAAAAUAAAAAUGCAUCUAGUUCUAAAGAGAAGCCAAUUCAACUCUCUUCCAUCAUAGUUAGAAACUUUGGUGUUUGUUAACCCCAUGAGAUGUAAAUUAACAGCACGCGAUUCAAGUCUCUACUCCUUCAUCUCAUUUGCAUAGAGAUUAACCCCAAAAUCUAAGUUCUACUAUUUUUUUCUUGAUAUGCUCCCCUUUCCUCGGGUUUUGCUUCUGGUCUUGUUGGCCUUUCUACUGGGUAGUGGGAUUGGGGAGAG
rnacentral:lncRNA from 1 species